rnacentral:rRNA from 1 species
UACGUAGGGUGCAAGCGUUGUCCGGAAUUAUUGGGCGUAAAGAGCUUGUAGGCGGCCUGUCGCGUCUGCUGUGAAAAUCCGGGGCUCAACCCCGGACUUGCAGUGGGUACGGGCAGACUAGAGUGUGGUAGGGGAGACUGGAAUUCCUGGUGUAGCGGUGAAAUGCGCAGAUAUCAGGAGGAACACCGAUGGCGAAGGCAGGUCUCUGGGCCACUACUGACGCUGAGAAGCGAAAGCAUGGGGAGCGAACAGG